rnacentral:rRNA from 1 species
UGGGGAAUAUUGGUCAAUGGGGGAAACCCUGAACCAGCCAUGCCGCGUGAGUGAAGAAGGCCUUAGGGUUGUAAAGCUCUUUCAGCGGGGACGAUAAUGACGGUACCCGCAGAAGAAGCCCCGGCUAACUUCGUGCCAGCAGCCGCGGUAAUACGAAGGGGGCUAGCGUUGUUCGGAAUUACUGGGCGUAAAGCGCGCGUAGGCGGACGCUUAAGUCAGGGGUGAAAUCCCGGGGCUCAACCCCGGAACGGCCUUUGAUACUGAGGGUCUGGAGUCCGGAAGAGGUUGGUGGAAUUCCGAGUGUAGAGGUGAAAUUCGUAGAUAUUCGGAGGAACACCAGAGGCGAAGGCGGCCAACUGGUCCGGUACUGACGCUGAGGCGCGAAAGCGUGGGGAGCAAACAGG